UACGUAGGGGGCAAGCGUUGUCCGGAAUCAUUGGGCGUAAAGCGCGUGUAGGCGGCUCGAUAAGUCUGCUGUGAAAGUCCAGGGCUCAACCCUGGGAUGCCGGUGGAUACUGUCGAGCUCGAGUCCGGAAGAGGAGUGUGGAAUUCCUGGUGUAGCGGUGAAAUGCGCAGAUAUCAGGAGGAACACCGGUGGCGAAGGCGGGUCUCUGGGCCGAUGACUGACGCUGGAGGAGCGAAAGCGUGGGGAGCAAACAGG
rnacentral:rRNA from 1 species